UACAAAUACCAUAGAUAGAUGAGGGAAUAAACAUGAGGCACAUUCGCCUUUAUCCCUAUGGUUCUCUGGUAUCAGUGGAACCAGUCUAUGUUGGAAAUACUGUCACUAGAUCCCGGGUUUUUAUUGAAACUUCUGAAGGAGAAACCAGCCCUAUGGGACACCUUCAAACCGGUUUUCCUCCGCUUUACAUCCUUCAAUAAUCCUUAUUGGAGCGACUGGACAACGUGGCUUUGAUAGCAAGAACAUAGCGAACUCUUAGAUCGUAUUGAUGCCUCAGUUGGAAGCGAUUGAUUGACCCCGUCACCUCCACGCAACCCCGCGAUACCUUAAACUUCGAAACCAAAAAUUAGGGGCCGACGAUAUUUUUCUCGGGGAGUGGUUGGCCACUAUGGAGUUUAGUAAUGAAGAAGAGAAUCCCGGUUCCCGAAGCCCUCGUUUCGCCUGACCCGCGGCCAUGGACGAAUAAAAAAACGUACCCAACAUCGAUGCCAUCCGGUUCCCCAAUCGGAUUGAGGAGGGGCGCCCGGAUAUUUGGGUUUGCCUGGUGAAAGUCAAUUCAGAAUCUGUUGCAGAUUUCUGUUUAGCAUGCUAGAGGUUUAAAGAGCGGACAGCAAUCGACACAAUCCGCAAUCAACUACCAACGUGAACCAAACGAAGCGGUCGACUGUUAAAUUUAUAUUAUGGGACGACACGCCAAAAGAGAGGCCAUCAACAUAACAAUGAUUUCCAUAUCCGCCUCCAAUUUCUAAGAGUGCGUCCUUCUAUGGCCUCAGCGUCCCGCCGUAUUUCAAAGCGCCAACUUUUGCUACUGGUUAACUGAACACUUUGGCUUUUGUCCUUAUACCGCCGUUGCCGAACCUCAUCAAAACCCAGCGGUGCUGUUUACAAGACGGCAUGUUUCGUGUUCCAACCCGCCUUGGAGGUGUCGUGGGUUUUA
rnacentral:sRNA from 2 species